GUGAACCUGCGGAAGGAUCAUAGUAAACGUCUGUUGACGCACGAUCGCACCGUCCACGGGACGCUAAGACGCUCUGGCAGAGGAUAAACCGCCCCCAGUGUUACCUUUGGGCACACGUUAAAGACCGCUCAGCCUCGUGAGUCUCACACCGUUGUGAAACGAAACCACAACCGGUAGCAUUGGAUCCCUUGGCACGUCAUUCGAUGAAGACCGUUGCAAAUUGCGAUAAAGUGAUGUGAUGCGCAAGUCCACCACUUAUACGUGAAUCAUCGAGUUGUUGAACGCACUGCACCGCGCCCUAAACCGGCUGCGGUAUGCCCCUUUGAGCGUCAUUGUUCCGUUCGUGGGCCCCAUUGAUUUGGGGUUCCGAGUCCGGAGUCCUCGGUCCCCCCCGGGAUCGUGUUCUCCAAGAUCCAGCACGCUCGCAUCCGGGUUGGGCUCUCUCAUGCUUGAGUGUGGAGGCCCUCGUCCCUGGUGCAGCGUCCGACGGCGACCUGAGCGCACGUCAGCAAGCCCCCCUCGGGGGAGCUACAGAUCAUGACCUCAUUGGGGUAGGACAACCCGCUAGACUUAAGCAUAUUAAUCAGCGGAGGAAAAGAAACUAACCAGGAUUCCCUCAGUAACUGCGAGUGAAGUGGGACCAGCUCAAUGUGUGAAUCUGGCGG
rnacentral:rRNA from 1 species